CUUCUACUGUGGAUGGCAGCUAGAUGUAAAUAAACCAGCAUUGAAAAUAAUAAUCCUUAAUAAAUAAAAUAAAGCUCAAAGCAAAAAGGCCCGACGUUUAGCAAGUUGUGAAAGAUAAUAAUGGUUCAUUCGUGAAAUUAGUCCCAUUACAGUUUCUGCCAGAAUUCCCGGUUUGUAGCAUUUUCAGGGUUGUUACAACAGCGCGGAUUUCGCGAAUUUCGCGGAUUUCGCGAUUUUCGCGGAUUUGGCGCGGAUUUACCCAUGGAAUUUGGCCCUCGCGCGGAUUUAGCGCGGAAUUGAUUUUUGUAGUGUGUAUAGCUAUAUAAUUGAAAGAUUAUCGACACUUGAUAAUAAAAUUAUGAAAUGUGUUUGUUUAAAUUGCCAGGAUUGGAUAUAGUAGUAGGUAGGCGAUAUAUUUCAAAAAUAUGUUGAACUAGCUGUCUCCGACAAACUUUGCGUUUUUAACGUUUCAAGUCCAAGUCACAAAGCCGAAGAAUCGGACGUUUCGCUCACGAGUUAUGCGUGGUCCUACGUAUGUCAUUGCAUUUAUAUAUACAGUGUCUUACAACACAAUACGACCACCUGUCAUUUUUUAUACAAAAUGGCCAAGUUUGAUGAUAUGGUACUCGGUUUUUAGUGAGCCGAUAUGGCUGAAAUUUUGGCAACCGACAUGAAUUCACGGGAAAUUUGAAUUGUAUUGAAUUGAUUGAGUUCUGUUCACUACUUCCAAAGUUACAGAUAUACGAAACGACAAAACAAUAGGACCACUUUCAGGUUGCCUUUACCAAAGGAUAUAUCAGAGUAUCUGAUGUUCGGUGAUUGACAUACUACCGUCUGACCCCGUUGGUUCGACACGUUUUAAUACGACAUUUUUUAAUUCGUACCCCGCUUAUUCGACAAGUGUCGAAUUAAAAAGUGUUCAAAUGUCACAGCGAUGUACACUGUAAAUGCAAAACAGUUUGAUAUUGCGCUUAUACUCGCACCGCAGCAGCUCCUCUUGCGGCCGCUAAUUCCGAAAGUUCUGAAUUGGUGCUAUUCAACACCGAAACCGCCUGGAGACCUACCGAAAUGAACUGAGGAUGGCAACAAUCGUAGAAAGAAUGAGCUUUUCACUCGCACCACUGCAAUAUCUGAUGAAAUUAUGUUUCACAACAAAUCCGGAAAUCAAAACAAAAACAAAAAUAGAGUUCCCAAAUUUCAAUGAGCAUGGUGGUGUAGGGUGACCAGUUUGUCGAAUUAAAAGUUUACCCCGGUUAUUUGACAACAGUCGGUGUCGUAUUAACGGGGUAAUACGGUAGUACAAUUGAGGAUGCCAUUUAACUCCUUCGGGACGACUUUUUUCACCAACCUCGCCGUUGUAGAACGCGUCAGCGAGGUGCAAAUGACCCAACCGUCCUGAAAAGGUUAAACUUGGGGACAUUUUUAUUGAAUUGACCACAAAUAACCAUCAUAACAGUCUGGUGUUAUUGUUUGAUCGCACCGUAUAUCUGUAACUUUGGAAGUAGUGAACAGAACUCAAUCAAUUCAAUACAAUUCAAAUUUCCCGUGAAUUCAUGUCGGUUGCCAAAAUUUCAGCCAAAUCGGCUCACCAAAAACCUAGUACCAUAUCGUCAAACUUGGGCAUUUUGUAUGACAUAAAACCGGUGGUCUUAUUGUUUAGUCCGAACAAAAAAAAAACACAAAGCAAGCGAAACUUUGGGACUGGUUUCUGUUUUCUCGAAUUUCUUUGGGCGGAUUUUGGAGCGGACGAAUGUGCUUGAGAAGGCGCUGUGUGCUAGUGAAGAAUUUAGAGCAAGUUUUUAUUUUGGUUUGCAAUAUUUUUUUUACAAUUUACAUCAGUUCUUCAAAAUAUUUCUGUGAAGAAGUUGUGCAACAAUUCCUCCAAUAUUUCUAUUACGGGUAUGUUAUGUAUCUAAAUUCAAC